GUGAAUCAUCAAAUUUUUGAACGCAAAUUGCACUCUCUGGUACUCCGGAGAGUAUGCCUGUUUGAGGGUCAGUUUAAAUAAAAAUCGGUGUUGUUGCUGCCUUUCGUGGUUACGCACCGGGGUUGUGUCGUCUUGUCUUCGUGUAAGUUACCUUAAUUGUGCAUUAUUUUUUUUGAAUGUAUUUAAAUUAUUUUACGUACGUGUGCGAUAUUGAAUACUAGGUGUGGUCAUCCUCAUGAUUCGUGCCUAUAAUUUUU
rnacentral:misc_RNA from 1 species